UAUUGGAAUAUAUAUAUAUAUGUGUGUAUGUUUGUGUGUGUGUGUAUAUAUAUAUACACACACAAACAUACACACAUAUAUAUAGUAGUCAUAUC
rnacentral:miRNA from 1 species